rnacentral:rRNA from 1 species
AGUGAACGCUGGCGGUAGGCCUAACACAUGCAAGUCGAACGGCAGCACAGUAAGAGCUUGCUCUUACGGGUGGCGAGUGGCGGACGGGUGAGGAGUACAUCGGAAUCUACUUUUUCGUGGGGGAUAACGUAGGGAAACUUACGCUAAUACCGCAUACGACCUACGGGUGAAAGCAGGGGAUCUUCGGACCUUGCGCGAUUGAAUGAGCCGAUGUCGGAUUAGCUAGUUGGCGGGGUAAAGGCCCACCAAGGCGGCGAUCCGUAGCUGGUCUGAGAGGAUGGUCAGCCACACGGGAGCUGAGCCACGGUCCAGACUCCUACGGGAGGCAGCAGUGGGGAAUAUUGGACAAUGGGCGCAAGCCUGAUCCAGCCAUACCGCGUGGGUGAAGAAGGCCUUCGGGUUGUAAAGCCCUUUUGUUGGGAGAGAAAAGCAGCAGGUUAAUACCCCGCUGUUCUGACGGUACCCAAAGAAUAAGCACCGGCUAACUUCGUG